CUACGGGAGGCAGCAGUAGGGAAUUUUCGGCAAUGGGCGCAAGCCUGACCGAGCAACGCCGCGUGAGUGAAGAAGGCCUUCGGGUUGUAAAGCUCUGUUGUAAGGGAAGAAUGACCAAGAUAGGGAAUGAUCUUGGAGUGACGGUACCUUACCAGAAAGCCACGGCUAACUACGUGCCAGCAGCCGCGGUAAUACGUAGGUGGCAAGCGUUAUCCGGAAUUAUUGGGCGUAAAGGGUGCGUAGGCGGUUUGAUAAGUCUGAGGUGAAAGUUCGGGGCUCAACUCCGAAUUGCCUUAGAAACUGUCAGACUUGAGUGUAGGAGAGGGCAAUGGAAUUCCAUGUGUAGCGGUAAAAUGCGUAGAUAUAUGGAGGAACACCAGUGGCGAAGGCGGUUGCCUGGCCUAUAACUGACGCUGAGGCACGAAAGCGUGGGGAGCAAAUAGGAUUAGAUACCCUAGUAGUCCACGCUGUAAACGAUGAUUACUAAGUGUUGGAGCAAUUCAGUGCUGCAGUUAACGCAAUAAGUAAUCCGCCUGGGGAGUAUGCACGCAAGUGUGAAACUCAAAGGAAUUGACGGGGGCCCGCACAAGCGGUGGAGUAUGUGGUUUAAUUCGAAGCAACGCGAAGAACCUUACCAAGUCUUGACAUACCGUGCAAAGCCCUGGAGACAGGGAAAUAGUUAUGGCGGAUACAGGUGGUGCAUGGUUGUCGUCAGCUCGUGUCGUGAGAUGUUGGGUUAAGUCCCGCAACGAGCGCAACCCUUAUCUUUAGUUACCAUCAUUCAGUUGGGGACUCUAGAGAGACUGCCGGUGAUAAACCGGAGGAAGGUGGGGAUGACGUCAAGUCCUCAUGGCCCUUAUGGGUAGGGCUUCACACGUAAUACAAUGGUCGGUACAGAGGGUCGCCAACCCGCGAGGGGGAGCCAAUCUCAGAAAGCCGAUCGUAGUCCGGAUUGUUCUCUGCAACUCGAGAGCAUGAAGUCGGAAUCGCUAGUAAUCGCGGAUCAGCAUGUCGCGGUGAAUACGUUCCCGGGCCUUGUACACACCGCC
rnacentral:rRNA from 1 species